rnacentral:misc_RNA from 1 species
UCUCUUUAGUCUGGUUUGCGAAUCUUAAUCUGACUGUUUUUGGGUAAUUUCCUAGGAAAACUUUUAAGAAUGGUUUUCGAAGUUUGCAGGUUUUUUUUUUUGUCGAUCUCUUCUUGAGAUCCUCCGCAUGAAAAGAAUUAAGAAUCCAGUUCUAAGUUUAAUUUUGAAAUAAUUAAAUUAAAUUUAAUUGUAUUUCGUCAUUUCAUUUGCGUGGGUUUAGCGUUUUGAAAUUUUAAAAAGCAAGAUUACUUUAUCUCCAUGAUACUGUUUGUUGAACUUUUAUGCAUAGCUUCUAACUUUAUAGAAGAAUUUCUUUUUGUGGAUUGAGAGAGAGAGAGAGAGCAUCUAACAUGUCUUCUUAUGGCUUCCUUUAUAUAUUCUUCUGCUUUUGUUGGGAUUCUCCAGCAAACAUCUCUUUUUUUAAAAAAAGUUACCAAAAGAGAAAAUUUGAAUACCCAGAGGCUCCAAAAACAAGAAAAUUGCAGGGUUCUUGUCUUUGGGCAGAUGGGUUCUCUUAGUCUGAAAUAAUAUUCAAUCUUGACAAAUAUUUUAGCAGUGGCAAAUGGUUAAUUUUAAUGAGUUUUGAGUGUGUUAAAUUAAUUCUAAUACUUUUUGGUACUCUUUGGCAGUCUGGAUGCUGUAAGCCAGCCGAUGAAUGUGGUUUUGAGUAUGUAAGCCCAACCAAUUGGACAAAAAUUACCCCAAGUUCCACAAAUCCUGACUGUACUGCGUGGGACAAUGAUCCUAAUACUCUCUGCUUUAACUGCAAUUCAUGCAAGGCUGGACUGCUAGAUAACAUCAAGAGUGAUUGGAAGAAGGUAGCUGUUGUGAACAUAGUAAUCCUUGUGUUCCUUAUCAUUGUGUACUCUGUUGGAUGCUGUGCUUUCAGGAACAACAGAAGCGACAAUGCUUAUUUUUCUGGAUGGAAGCAGCAACCUUGAGAGAUUAUAACUAGCAUUAAUGUAGACAUCUAUGUAGGAUUUUAUUACUACUAGUUUUAGGCAGCCUUCUGUUCAUUUGCUGCUUAUCCUGCUGUUAAUAUGUAUUUGCUGUUAACACAUAUUUGCUGUUUCUUAUGGCUGUUCCUCGUAUGGCGUUUUAUGUGCUUUAUUUUUUUAUGUCCUUAGAACACCCUGCAUAUAUAUAUAUAUAGGUACCUUCUCUAAAA